CUGGACAGACCUGUGAGGAUAUCGAUACAAGUAUCUGUACCAAACUCGGACAAAUAUAUUCCGGAUUUUGCAAUGAUUCCUGUAUUUCUAAAUUGUGCAGAAGGAGUUGUGGAAUGUGUCGUAAGUAAGAAAUAUAAAACAGAUUUUGCCUCAGUAUUUACAGAGCUUAAACGUAUGAUAUAAAUUUUAACCAUAUCAUAUCACUGGUAUUUUCAUUUUUUUUGUAUCUGUUCAAUUUUUUGAACCGCUGAGAUUUUUCUUUAACCAUUGCAUGCAUAUACUUUUAGUUUAAGCCAUUUGACAUUGCCAUUUCGAAAAUUGUGGUUUUCAAUGAAUAUUCCACUUUGUAUUGUCCAAUGAUUUUCGCCUUCUUUUUGGUUUAACACGCCAAUGAUAUUGCCUUCUUUUUGGUUUAACUGCCAAUGAUAUUGCCUUCUUUUUGGUUUAACGCCAAUGAUAUUGAUGCUAACUUGUUAAUAACACAUUGUUUAAAUAUUCUACAGCCGUCAAAUGUUACGAAUGCCAUGAAGUGGACGAACCAAGAUUAUGUACGAAUGUAACACAAUGUCCAGAUAUUGACCAUGUAAGCUGAAAUUAAUCAUAAUUUAAAGUAUGUAGAAAAUUAACUUAACAGUUGCUGUAAUUCAUUAUGCAACGUCUAAAUUUUAUUUUAUUUCAUCUUUACUCUAUUAAAAUUUUACUUUAUUGAAGUACCAAUAUCUUCACUAACAUAGAUUUGCUCGUUUGAUUUUCAUAAAAUUGUGAAAAAAUAUAUGUUAAUUGCUUUGACAAAAAAAUAUAAGAUUUUAUGAAAUUUGAACAACACAAUUUACAGAAAUAAUUUCAUUAAUUAUAUAGCAGUUUGACAAACUUUUGAUCAUUGAGAAGCUUUAUUUCUGUAUGCUGAUGGUGUGUGACUAAAACGUUUAGCUCAUUAUUAAAGAGUAUAAACUCCCUUAUGUGAUUAGUACCACUUAAUCUUUGUGGUUAAUUGUGAUCUGGUCUUAUUUAAAGGAAAUAAAAACAGAACAAUUGAUAGUAAAAACAGAGUGUCCGAUAAAAAAAGAAUCAAAAUUCAGAGAUUAAUACAUUUCUUAUCACAGAAAACAUACUUGUACGUAUUAUCUUUUUAUCUUCAAUUGGAAAAACAGUAAAAAAAAUAUUGACAUCGUUUGUAUAUAAAUAACAGAAUAGUGGAAUUACAAAGUACAGAAACACAAUUGUUAUACAUCGGAAUCAUCAAUUAGUUGUACAACAACAAAAAAGACUGCAUACUAGAAUACAAUCUAAAUAAAACACAUUCUCUGCUCGCCCCCGUUUUCUGGUGUGACUGGGGCGAUUAGAAAUCGGUUUGUAAUUAUAUUGACUAGAAUACAAACAACCAUAUUAAGAAGAUAACAUGUUAAUAUAUCUUGACUGUUAAACCCUGCUUUGAACAAAACCGACACAAUGUGACAUUCCACAGGAAAGCAUGUUACUCUAAUCAGACACAGUAUUCUUACUCUAUGCCGACUAAUCUUUGCUUUUACUUCUUCGUGCUGCGUGCGUAGCAUAUUUUAAGUCUUCAGUUUAUUCCGGGCAGGGAACUUAUCCACGACCUUCUGCACAAGAUGCGAGCAUGCUAACACGAGAUCAACGAGGCUGUUCAAUGGUAAAUGAAUGACAUAAACCAACGACCAACACUAAACUACAUGCUCCUUACAAAAGAAAGGCGGGUUUAAACAUAUUCAUUUGAUAUAAAAUACUCCUGUAUAUGCUUAUCUGACAAAUAACUUAGGAUUAUUUAGUUGCACAAACUAAGCUGAAAUUUAUUUUGAAUUUAUAAGUUUGACUGUUCCUCUGGUAUUUUCGUCUCUAUUUCAGUACUGCUUCGCAACCAGAUCUUUUGCUGAUAAUUUCAAAAAGAUUUACAAACUUGGAUGUGCCCCAAAAUCGGUGAGUAAAUUUUGGUUAAUUUGAAAUUUCAGUGCACGCAACAUUUAAAUUGGUGAACAAUAAUAUGGUAAACGACUUUUUGUGCUUUGAUAAUGGAAAGCAAUUUGUGAAUCUGGUUAUUUUUGGCUUUGAUUGUAAUUUUUUUCACCCUAAGACAAUAACAAUCAAAACCAAGGAGUGAACAAAGACUCACAAAACCAAAGAACAUUUACAUCAACAGUUAUAAAUAAUAAUUAAGAAACAACACUAACUCCACUAAAAACCGGGAGUGAAAUCAGGUGCUCCGGAAGGGUAAGUAUAUCUAAAUGAUGUUCCCAAAAGAUUUAUUUUUAUUUUAUUUUAUUUUGGAAGUCAAUUUUUCGAUAUUUGGUUGCAGGAGUUGCUUUCCUUAUCGACACACCUGAUACCACUCUGUUCAGUUAAAUCAAUAUAAAAUGAUACUGAUAUCAUGAACCUUUUAACACGCUCAUUUAAUUUAGACUGGAACACACCCGCGAAAUCGUGGGCUUUAAGGCUUGGUUGAAAGUAUGUAAACUGUUGUAGGGAGAAUUUUUGUAAAAGAUUUUUUGUCUGGAGAAUUUCAGUAAAAGAUUUCAUGUGUAGAAUUUCAGAUAAGGUAUAAAAAUAGCAUUUUAAAACGGUUCAAGCCCUCUCCCUUGCUUCCAAAGUCCGUUAUUUUUUUUUCUGUUAAAUUCCAUUAUUUUCGCGUUUUUCAGAUUCUGUUUACUAUGAACAUACGUAUACAGAAUGGUUGUAUCUCUGACACAUUACCCAUUUCCAUUCUCAAUUUUAUUGUACACUAUAAAUAAAGUGUAUGUGCUAUUAACUAUCAAUUUCAAGUUUCUUCUCCUAGGCGAUCACUGCUAUAUUAUAUAGAGAGUCUCUAUCAACGGGAUAAUUAUUGUCCUGUCCCCGAGUACUCUUAUAAAAUUUGUGUGCAAGUUUAAAACUGGAAGUCCUCUUUGACUUUAAAGCGAAAUCGCGGGCACUUUAAGCUUGGUUGAAAGUAUGUUAACUAUUUCAGGAUGAUUUUUUGUAAAGGAUUUUAUGUCUGGAGAAUUUAAGAAAUGAUAUCAAAAGUCAUAUAGGUACAUGGAUACAGGACAAUAUUUUUAAACCUAUUUUCUUUUUUUCAAAGUCCGUCACUCUUUUGUUUUCUGUUUUAUUUCAUUAUUUUCGCGUUUCGUUAUACUAUGAACAUACUAGUACGUAUAUAUAUAUUGUGAAUAUUAAAGUGUAUUUGAUUUUCUAUAUUAACUAUUAAUUCUAUGUUUCUUCUCCGUGGUGAUCACUGCUAUAUUAUAUAGAGAGUCUUUAUAUAUCAUAGUAGUAUAUUAAUUAUAGUAUACAUGCAGAUAAACGCGAAAAUAAUUGUCCUAUCCCCGACAGAUAACUCAUGAAAAAUAUGUGAAAGUUUAAACCGAGGUAUAAUACUAUAGUAGUAGUGGUCCUUACAAUCCAAAAACCACGAUAUGGACAACGUUCUGAUUGGCUUAUUUAUUUUUCAUUCUUGUUAUCUAUAAUGCGAUUGGUUCUCAAUGUUAAAACCGGAAGUAAUGUGUGACUUAAAAGUCGGUUUGAAGACGGAAACAAUAUCCGAACGCAUUUAUUUUCGUUUUUCUCCGAAAAUAACCCAAAUCGAAUAGUUAUGAUAAUGGAUGACAAAUGCGACUAUGCAUGGCACCUAUUGGACAUAGACCCAUGAUGGUUAAUUCAUUGUGGGAGGAAGAGAAGCGACACAUAAAACGAGGUCUUCUCGUUUAAUAGUAUAGAUAACAUUAGCAUGAUUAGAGAAUAAACUUAUAAAUGGUUUCAUUAUAGAUAUGUAAGGAAAAUUUUGGCAGCCCUGGAAAACGUGAUCUCCGUGUUGAUGCAGCUUGUUGUUCAUAUGAUCAAUGUAACAACAGGUUCCCAGAAGAAAUACAAGGUUCCAGCUAUACAACAUCAACAAAAG
rnacentral:lncRNA from 1 species